rnacentral:lncRNA from 1 species
GGCGGUAAAAAUCUAGCUGAUACAAUUAAAAAUAUUUUGCUCUUACUGCCAACAGACACUAUUUUGUCAGAAUACAGCAUGAAUUGUCUAAAGAAGAAAAAAAAUUUUAAAGAGUUGACAAUUCUAUGUAACCUUGUCACUGAAGCUGCUUUUAAGUCAAAUAAAAACUUAACCAAAAUGAAUGCCAUCCAACUUAUUGGGAGAGUAAGUAGGCAUUCUUCUGACCGAAUAAAGAGAACAUUUACUAAUAUGGUUUUCGAUCAAUGAUGGCUUAAUUAACUGUUGUAUUUAUUUAUUUUUUUUCCAUUUUUAUAAGCAAUUUUCUUCUAUUUAUAAUGCACUAUCGAUUAUAUUCUACAGUACCUAUUAGUUUUUAAUUUGGAUAAUGUAACU